AGGUUCCCAGGAUAGCCCAAACAGUCUGGAUUCAUAAAAUGAAUCUCAGGUCAACUCAGCAGUCAACAGAUCUAUUGAAAACAAGAGGAUCUCGACGUCUAACACGCAAAGACAGUGUGUGAACUAUGUCUAAGAGCUUCAUUGUGUGGGCCAAGGAAGACUUUAGCCCUCUCUUCUCUCCACCCCGGAAUCCCAGGACAGAGUCACUGGUAUCAGAGUGUCAAGUGGUAGUGUUUAUUGCCAAGCACGGUCAUGGGUGUUAAAGAAGGCAGAGCCACAGACAGCGCGUCUAUUCUCUCAUCCCUGCAGACCAAGGAAUCUGCAAACAGAACCAGGGCACAAGCUUCCUCAGUGCCGGGCUCUAACUUGGCCCACGGCUUCUUGAGGCAGAGGGCAUUUCUCCGCAGAGCAUGCUAACACUUCUUGAUACUGAUGUGGCCGGGAGAGAGCUGGAGACAAUACCACACCUGAGACUAUGCUGCGACUCCCUCUUUGGUUUGAGGCCAAUCAUUUACUAAGUGGCAACUAACUCUUAAAAGUAGGACACACAGGAAGCUGACAGUCCAAGCACCAUUGAGAGAUGAAUAAGCUCUGGAGACUAGAUCAUGGUCUGGUGGCUUUGGUUAACAAUACUGCAUUCCAAACACAGCUGGAAGGUCUGGUGUGAGGUUGUCCUGCCACGUUAAGCCAGACACCAGACAGGAAACACCAAUGGGACAGUGACACGUGGUCAUAAAACCAACCUUAGCUGACCCCAUGGAGGUAUACACCUUAGGAGUAUGUACUCUUUCAGAGUAAGACAUGAUAUCACUGCACCUGAAAAGUCACAGAUUUAGCUAGAUCUGCUGACUAGCAAGCUCUAGCCAUCCUCCUGCCUCUGGUUCCUCAGAGCUGGGAUCGCAGGUGUCCACUACCACUCUUGGCUUGUUCUGUGAAUGCCAAGGAUCUAGGUCCUCACGGUUGCGCAAUGAGUUCUUUAAUGCAUGAGCCAUUUCCUUGGAUCCUCUAACUCUCCAACUCAAAUGUGACUUUUGUAACCUGAAAAUGUUCACUCGAGUCAGUCACACUCCAUGAACACAGAAUCUCAAGGACAGGGACCAGUAAGGAAGCAAGCUGUGAUAGCCAGCCUUGGUUUUCAUCUUGACUCCAUCUGGAAUCAUGUAACACCUAAGCAGCUGCACACCUGAUUAGGAUUUUCUUGAAUGGAUCAUUUGAAGUGAGGGAAAGCACCCUAGAUCUGGGUACAUCGUGUACCCCCACGUCUAAGGACAUGGAAGGAGGAGGCUUACCUUUUGGCUACCUGCCCACUCUCUGGCUGACAAACUCAUCCUUCCUGCUGUUGGCCCAUCAUUUCACUGGUAUUAGCACUGACAUCUUUAGAAUUCCACCACAGACUGAAGAGUACAGAGAGAUCCAGCCGCCUGGACUGAAAAACUACGAGAUUCUUGGCCUUUCUAUUAGAAGACAGCCAUUCGGACUCGCUAACCCACAACCUGUCUUCCAACUCUUGGAAAGAGAAUUCCACUCCUCAACAAAGCGGUCUGUCAAUGCCUCUCGAAGCUCACUCAGCUUUAUCUUUCCAUGAAACCACCCUUUUGAGGUUGAGUGUUGGAAUUAAGUGUGCACCAGCUGUUACAAAGAUGUUGGACUGCUCCAUCAGGUGGCAAACAUUUUCCUCUAAGAAAAGAUCCCUUCGCUUUUCCUCCUAAGUCUACAUGUCAAAAGACAGCAGCCUGGUGUGUCUAUAGUCUGCCUCAUUUCUAAGACCAUCUACCUCUCACUCCCUGUGUUCUUAAAGAAACUAGAACAGCCACCACACAGCUCAGGUGUGCUAGCUUGUAGACAGUUUCAAAAGGAUGCUCAAGAAAGUUUGGGAGGAGCUAAGAGACAUCAAUUAUGUAAUGAAGAGACAAUAAAUAAUUAGCUAUGAUC
rnacentral:lncRNA from 1 species